UUAAGCGACUAAGCGUACACGGUGGAUGCCCUGGCAGUCAGAGGCGAUGAAGGACGUGCUAAUCUGCGAUAAGCGUCGGUAAGGUGAUAUGAACCGUUAUAACCGGCGAUUUCCGAAUGGGGAAACCCAGUGUGAUUCGUCACACUAUCAUUAACUGAAUCCAUAGGUUAAUGAGGCGAACCGGGGGAACUGAAACAUCUAAGUACCCCGAGGAAAAGAAAUCAACCGAGAUUCCCCCAGUAGCGGCGAGCGAACGGGGAGGAGCCCAGAGCCUGAAUCAGUGUGUGUGUUAGUGGAAGCGUCUGGAAAGGCGUGCGAUACAGGGUGACAGCCCCGUACACAAAAAUGCACAUACUGUGAGCUCGAUGAGUAGGGCGGGACACGUGGUAUCCUGUCUGAAUAUGGGGGGACCAUCCUCCAAGGCUAAAUACUCCUGACUGACCGAUAGUGAACCAGUACCGUGAGGGAAAGGCGAAAAGAACCCCGGCGAGGGGAGUGAAAAAGAACCUGAAACCGUGUACGUACAAGCAGUGGGAGCCUCUUAAUGGGGUGACUGCGUACCUUUUGUAUAAUGGGUCAGCGACUUAUAUUCUGUAGCAAGGUUAACCGAAUAGGGGAGCCGAAGGGAAACCGAGUCUUAACUGGGCGUUAAGUUGCAGGGUAUAGACCCGAAACCCGGUGAUCUAGCCAUGGGCAGGUUGAAGGUUGGGUAACACUAACUGGAGGACCGAACCGACUAAUGUUGAAAAAUUAGCGGAUGACUUGUGGCUGGGGGUGAAAGGCCAAUCAAACCGGGAGAUAGCUGGUUCUCCCCGAAAGCUAUUUAGGUAGCGCCUCGUGAAUUCAUCUCCGGGGGUAGAGCACUGUUUCGGCAAGGGGGUCAUCCCGACUUACCAACCCGAUGCAAACUGCGAAUACCGGAGAAUGUUAUCACGGGAGACACACGGCGGGUGCUAACGUCCGUCGUGAAGAGGGAAACAACCCAGACCGCCAGCUAAGGUCCCAAAGUCAUGGUUAAGUGGGAAACGAUGUGGGAAGGCCCAGACAGCCAGGAUGUUGGCUUAGAAGCAGCCAUCAUUUAAAGAAAGCGUAAUAGCUCACUGGUCGAGUCGGUCUGCGCGGAAGAUGUAACGGGGCUAAACCAUGCACCGAAGCUGCGGCAGCGACACUAUGUGUUGUUGGGUAGGGGAGCGUUCUGUAAGCCUGUGAAGGUGUACUGUGAGGUAUGCUGGAGGUAUCAGAAGUGCGAAUGCUGACAUAAGUAACGAUAAAGCGGGUGAAAAGCCCGCUCGCCGGAAGACCAAGGGUUCCUGUCCAACGUUAAUCGGGGCAGGGUGAGUCGACCCCUAAGGCGAGGCCGAAAGGCGUAGUCGAUGGGAAACAGGUUAAUAUUCCUGUACUUGGUGUUACUGCGAAGGGGGGACGGAGAAGGCUAUGUUGGCCGGGCGACGGUUGUCCCGGUUUAAGCGUGUAGGCUGGUUUUCCAGGCAAAUCCGGAAAAUCAAGGCUGAGGCGUGAUGACGAGGCACUACGGUGCUGAAGCAACAAAUGCCCUGCUUCCAGGAAAAGCCUCUAAGCAUCAGGUAACAUCAAAUCGUACCCCAAACCGACACAGGUGGUCAGGUAGAGAAUACCAAGGCGCUUGAGAGAACUCGGGUGAAGGAACUAGGCAAAAUGGUGCCGUAACUUCGGGAGAAGGCACGCUGAUAUGUAGGUGAAGUCCCUCGCGGAUGGAGCUGAAAUCAGUCGAAGAUACCAGCUGGCUGCAACUGUUUAUUAAAAACACAGCACUGUGCAAACACGAAAGUGGACGUAUACGGUGUGACGCCUGCCCGGUGCCGGAAGGUUAAUUGAUGGGGUUAGCGGUAACGCGAAGCUCUUGAUCGAAGCCCCGGUAAACGGCGGCCGUAACUAUAACGGUCCUAAGGUAGCGAAAUUCCUUGUCGGGUAAGUUCCGACCUGCACGAAUGGCGUAAUGAUGGCCAGGCUGUCUCCACCCGAGACUCAGUGAAAUUGAACUCGCUGUGAAGAUGCAGUGUACCCGCGGCAAGACGGAAAGACCCCGUGAACCUUUACUAUAGCUUGACACUGAACAUUGAGCCUUGAUGUGUAGGAUAGGUGGGAGGCUUUGAAGUGUGGACGCCAGUCUGCAUGGAGCCGGCCUUGAAAUACCACCCUUUAAUGUUUGAUGUUCUAACGUUGGCCCCUGACCGGGGUUGCGGACAGUGUCUGGUGGGUAGUUUGACUGGGGCGGUCUCCUCCUAAAGAGUAACGGAGGAGCACGAAGGUUGGCUAAUCCUGGUCGGACAUCAGGAGGUUAGUGCAAUGGCAUAAGCCAGCUUGACUGCGAGCGUGACGGCGCGAGCAGGUGCGAAAGCAGGUCAUAGUGAUCCGGUGGUUCUGAAUGGAAGGGCCAUCGCUCAACGGAUAAAAGGUACUCCGGGGAUAACAGGCUGAUACCGCCCAAGAGUUCAUAUCGACGGCGGUGUUUGGCACCUCGAUGUCGGCUCAUCACAUCCUGGGGCUGAAGUAGGUCCCAAGGGUAUGGCUGUUCGCCAUUUAAAGUGGUACGCGAGCUGGGUUUAGAACGUCGUGAGACAGUUCGGUCCCUAUCUGCCGUGGGCGCUGGAGAACUGAGGGGGGCUGCUCCUAGUACGAGAGGACCGGAGUGGACGCAUCACUGGUGUUCGGGUUGUCAUGCCAAUGGCACUGCCCGGUAGCUAAAUGCGGAAGAGAUAAGUGCUGAAAGCAUCUAAGCACGAAACUUGCCCCGAGAUGAGUUCUCCCUGACUCCUUGAGAGUCCUGAAGGAACGUUGAAGACGACGACGUUGAUAGGCCGGGUGUGUAAGCGCAGCGAUGCGUUGAGCUAACCGGUACUAAUGAACCGUGAGGCUUAACCUU
rnacentral:rRNA from 1 species